rnacentral:rRNA from 1 species
AGAGUUUGAUCAUGGCUCAGAUUGAACGCUGGCGGCAGGCUUAACACAUGCAAGUCGAGCGGGGGAAGGUAGCUUGCUACUGGACCUAGCGGCGGACGGGUGAGUAAUGCUUAGGAAUCUGCCUAUUAGUGGGGGACAACAUCUCGAAAGGGAUGCUAAUACCGCAUACGUCCUACGGGAGAAAGCAGGGGAUCUUCGGACCUUGCGCUAAUAGAUGAGCCUAAGUCGGAUUAGCUAGUUGGUGGGGUAAAGGCCUACCAAGGCGACGAUCUGUAGCGGGUCUGAGAGGAUGAUCCGCCACACUGGGACUGAGACACGGCCCAGACUCCUACGGGAGGCAGCAGUGGGGAAUAUUGGACAAUGGGCGAAAGCCUGAUCCAGCCAUGCCGCGUGUGUGAAGAAGGCCUUAUGGUUGUAAAGCACUUUAAGCGAGGAGGAGGCUACUUUAGUUAAUACCUAGAGAUAGUGGACGUUACUCGCAGAAUAAGCACCGGCUAACUCUGUGCCAGCAGCCGCGGUAAUACAGAGGGUGCGAGCGUUAAUCGGAUUUACUGGGCGUAAAGCGUGCGUAGGCGGCUUAUUAAGUCGGAUGUGAAAUCCCCGAGCUUAACUUGGGAAUUGCAUUCGAUACUGGUGAGCUAGAGUAUGGGAGAGGAUGGUAGAAUUCCAGGUGUAGCGGUGAAAUGCGUAGAGAUCUGGAGGAAUACCGAUGGCGAAGGCAGCCAUCUGGCCUAAUACUGACGCUGAGGUACGAAAGCAUGGGGAGCAAACAGGAUUAGAUACCCUGGUAGUCCAUGCCGUAAACGAUGUCUACUAGCCGUUGGGGCCUUUGAGGCUUUAGUGGCGCAGCUAACGCGAUAAGUAGACCGCCUGGGGAGUACGGUCGCAAGACUAAAACUCAAAUGAAUUGACGGGGGCCCGCACAAGCGGUGGAGCAUGUGGUUUAAUUCGAUGCAACGCGAAGAACCU